UGCUAGAUUAACCUUGUCUUGAGAACAACGUGGUAGCCCUGUGUGCUAGUCAGUGUAAGGAAGACCAAAUUCCUUGGAAACCUAUUCAGUGGGUUUAUCUUCCAGAUUUGAUAGACGCAAAAAGAAAAAGGGGAAACAUGGGCAAAGGAAGAUUUGAUGAAAAAGAAAAUGUGUCCAACUGCAUCCAGUUGAAAACCUCGGUUAUUAAGGGUAUUAAAAAUCAAUUGCUAGAGCAAUUUCCAGGUAUUGAACCAUGGCUUAAUCAAAUCAUGCCUAAGAAAGAUCCUGUGAAAAUUGUCCGAUGCCAUGAACACAUAGAAAUCCUUACAGUAAAUGGAGAGUUACUGUUUUUUAGACAAAGAGAAGGGCCUUUUUAUCCAACCUUAAGAUUACUUCAUAAAUAUCCUUUUAUCUUGCCACAUCAGCAGGUUGAUAAAGGAGCCAUCAAAUUUGUACUCAGUGGAGCAAAUAUCAUGUGUCCCGGCUUAACGUCUCCUGGAGCUAAGCUUUAUCCUGCUGCAGUAGAUACUAUUGUUGCAAUCAUGGCAGAAGGAAAACAACAUGCUUUAUGUGUGGGCGUCAUGAAGAUGUCUGCAGAAGAUAUGUAAGUUUCACUCUAGGCUCCUUUAACUGACAUAUAAGUGGUAGUUCAAGAAGCAUCUGUUUCAGGUGAAGUUUGAUGUUAUUCAUACCACAUCUUACAAAUACCUAAGCCAAGUAGAUCAUUUCUUAUUUUUUCCU
rnacentral:lncRNA from 1 species